rnacentral:rRNA from 1 species
CGUAGGGUGCAAGCGUUGUCCGGAAUUAUUGGGCGUAAAGAGCUCGUAGGCGGCUAGUCGCGUCGACUGUGAAAACCCGGGGCUCAACUCCGGGCCUGCAGUCGAUACGGGCUGGCUUGAGUGCGGUAGGGGAGACUGGAAUUCCUGGUGUAGCGGUGAAAUGCGCAGAUAUCAGGAGGAACACCGGUGGCGAAGGCGGGUCUCUGGGCCGUAACUGACGCUGAGGAGCGAAAGCGUGGGGAGCGAACAGGAUUAGAUACCCUGGUAGUCCACGCCGUAAACGUUGGGCGCUAGGUGUGGGGACCUAUCCACGGUCUCCGUGCCGCAGCUAACGCAUUAAGCGCCCCGCCUGGGGAGUACGGCCGCAAGGCUA